rnacentral:ribozyme from 1 species
UGCCCAGCAGCUCCUAUCCCUACCUCCUCGUGGUACCGACCGGAAACUAUGAGCAACCUUAGGGAAGAUCGGGUAACCAACUCCGGUGGGAGCUUUGGUUGUAGGCUGACAGAGAAGG